rnacentral:misc_RNA from 1 species
CAGUACUGACUGCUUUUGUAGUCUCAUACUCUCAACCACUGUGCAUUGUUUCGUGGCGCUCGCGUCACCACAUUUCACCACUGAUUGAGUACACACAUACAUAUAAUACGCAUA